AACGAACGCUGGCGGCAGGCUUAACACAUGCAAGUCGAACGCCCCGCAAGGGGAGUGGCAGACGGGUGAGUAACGCGUGGGAAUCUACCCAGUUCUACGGAACAACACAGGGAAACUUGUGCUAAUACCGUAUACGCCCCAAGGGGGAAAGAUUUAUCGGAAUUGGAUGAGCCCGCGUUGGAUUAGCUAGUUGGUGAGGUAACGGCUCACCAAGGCGACGAUCCAUAGCUGGUCUGAGAGGAUGAUCAGCCACACUGGGACUGAGACACGGCCCAGACUCCUACGGGAGGCAGCAGUGGGGAAUAUUGGACAAUGGGCGAAAGCCUGAUCCAGCCAUGCCGCGUGAGUGAUGAAGGCCUUAGGGUUGUAAAGCUCUUUCAACGGUGAAGAUAAUGACGGUAGCCGUAGAAGAAGCCCCGGCUAACUUCGUG
rnacentral:rRNA from 1 species